GGCGAUGUACCUCUUCCUCAUCUAAGUACUGGAAGCGUCGAAAAUUUUGAGAACAUAAUUGAAAAUUGGCGCCAUCUCUCCCGCAAAUUUUUUAGAUAGAUCGAUUUGUUUCCUAAUUUUCAGAAACCAUCAGCCAUACACAAAGCAAUUUCCUAAACCUAAAAUCCCAUGGAGGAAGAUGCGGCACCCAUCUGAUCUGAUCACAAAAUAAGGGAUAAAGAUGGUGGCCGGAAUGAGAAGAGGCCACCUUAGAUGGUCUGAGUUGUAAAGUCGUCGAGCUCUGAAUCACUUGCCACCACCUCACGCCGUCGUGCUUCAGUAUGUCCAUUAUUGUUGUAUGUGGAACCCAAUUAAUGUGGUUAUGGUAUUUGAUACAAAAAGGUGAUGUUUAUCCCAUUGUUGUAAUCCACUAAUUUCUUCUCAUCUUCAUACGCUUGUAAAAAUCAACACCUUGCUUCUGAUUCUUAAGCUAUUGCUGCAGCUUUCUCUUUCGAUCAAAAGCAGUAUGAGAUCGUAUUUGUAACCCACUCCGCGUACACUUAAUUGUUUAUGAUUUUGAAGUUCUGACCUUGCUCCCCUGCCCAUCCCCUCGUUUCACCAAUCAUGGUAACUUCUCCUCUCUAACUGUUUACUGGUUACUCUAACAUAGGAAUAUGUAUGUUUGGUUAUGCCCCUCUUCUUCUUAAAUUUUUUAUUUUAUUUUGAUGGUUUAGUUUUCUUCAAGUUGUGUUGUGCUCAAUUAUUAUGGAUAUUAGUGAAGAUGAUGAAUCUUGGAUCUUGAAAUUUUUUGUUGUGUCAUGCUUGUAACUCAAGGGAACACUGGAAGAGAUAUUGUAUGAUAGUUCUCCAAGGCCUGCUUUUGAGAGUAGUAUUG
rnacentral:lncRNA from 1 species